GCUGCAGGAGCACAGCCUGGAAGUUCACUGGCAGCCCGUACCUGCCGGACAGACAGCGAGGAGCGGAAGUGGAAAGGGGAAGAGCUAAGGAAGGAAACCUGCAAGCGGGUGUGAUGCGCACGCCUGCUGUGCCAACACUCAGGAGACUGAGGCAGCGGGAUCAGGCAGUUUCAAGCCCAGCCUGUGCAACAGCAACUUAAAAGACCCUUUCUCCGAAAAAAUUUGAAAAGGGCUAGGGAUGCAGCUCAGUGCUGAAGCCUUGGGUUCAAUCCCCAGGACGGGAAUUCUAAAAAAAAAGAAAACUCAGGCAAAAUGUCAAGGUUGCAGAAAAAAAGCCGGGCCCUGCCGUGGCCAUGAGUGCAGGGGGAACCUGAUCCACAGAUGACCCUGACUCCCAGACACACACCUCCCAUCCUCACUUCCUGUGAAGAAUCCCAGGAACGCAGAGUUUGCCAUGAGAUCCGCAAAGGAGGUCCUGACAUCUAUUGUGCCUACUCCACGGGGCCUGACCCCAGCUGGGACAGCCGCCACCUCUGCCCUCUGCUCUCCCUGCUCACGGCCUGUGACAUCUGCUCGCCUGACCCACACCCAGCUACCUGGCCAGCUACAGCAGCCUGCCGCUCACCAGCACCCAUCCUGUCCGAAUCUUCCCAGAACUGGAAUUGAACCUGGGACCUCUGCACUGAGCUGCAUCCCCAGCAUUUUUAUGUUUUGAGACAGAGUCUCCCUAAGUCACCAAGUUGCCCGGGCUGGUCUCAAACUUGUGAUCCUCCUACCUCAGCCUCCCAGAGUGCUGGGAUCAUAGGCCUGUGCCACAGGGCCCAGUGUCUGUCCUAUGAGCCGGGAAACAGGAGCACAGUGGGAGGGGAGGUGGCCGGGCUGGGACAGCCCACCCUGGGGACACCCCACCGCACCUGAGCACGGACUCCACGAACACCCUGAGGGCCUUGAUAUGGAUCCAGGCAGUGAAGGCCUCACUGAAGUUCACCUUGAGCCAGCGCAGCAGUGGACCCUGCAGAAAUGAGGACCACGUGACCCUCCCGCCACUCGCCGGGCAGGGAGGACUCGGGUGGAGGGGUCGCCGAGGAGCUGCAGAAGCACCAGAGAGGGAGCCAUGGGGAGGCUCAGGACUGAGGCGUCCUGCACAGCCACCAGCGCAUGCUAAGGGCCACCAAGGCCCAGGGCGGAGGCCUGCAGCCC
rnacentral:lncRNA from 1 species